rnacentral:lncRNA from 1 species
UUUCUUGAGGGACUGUUCUAUGUCAGCAUGAGAUAAAUCACCUCAUCGAUAUAACAAUGACAAGUGAUGCAUGCCUAUCAUUUCAUUAUGAAAUCAUAUUGCUAUGACCCCCAUCCCCCAACACACACCUUCCAUUCUGCUGCAGAAUGUUCACUCCAGGAAGGCAGGGAUGCCCCAGCUGCAUCCUUCAUCUCAAGGCAGGGAUGGAAAUGCCUGCUAGAAAGAACUGCUGUUCUCCUGCCAUCUAAAAAUGCUGUGUCCAUCCACUGCCACAACAGAACUGCCAUGUCUGCCUGGAAAUGCCCAAACAGUGGCAAGAGACAACCGAAAGGAAGCUGGCCAGUAAUGAAGACCACUUUGGGUACAGAGUGGUGUGCUCAAUUCUGCUGUUUUUUGACUAGGUGUUUGAAAGAGGCAAGAGAUGCAGGUGCCUGCUAUCUACAGUGGGACCCCAGCAAGUCUGCAAGGACCCACAGAGCCACCCACCGCAGCAUGGCUGACAGUUAA